CCAUACAUUCACUGUUAUGUCAGCUAAUCCUGAGAUCUCAUGUAUUGGGCAUCAAAACUUUACAAUUUGGUAGCAAGUUAGGUACAGGUCUUUCUCAAUGACCCUGUCAAAAUGGAACUUUUUAACCCUUUCGCCCCGACUGCCCGAUUUAUCGGGCAGCAUAAACCGUGUCCCAGUACCCAGCUGCCCGAAAAAUCGGGCGGCUAUUGUCCAAGCCCCACACACGGCUGCCCGAUAAAUCGGGCGGCGCGACCGUGUUUACAAAAUCGCUCUUUCAACUUCCUUUCUCGUGUGUAAUCUCGUUCUAAAUAUGGAAACGAGAUCUACACGUGAUUGACACGUCAUUCGAUGGAAUUUCCCAGUCUUUUUGGCGCGAAAAUCGCGAAUGUCACCUGUUUUCGCGACAGGUAUUUUUCUCGCUUGAAUCGUAAAUCUAGUGUAAUGGCGGCCAACUACGAUUCGGAUAGCGAUCAGAUGACUAACAACGACUCUAUCGGGAAUAAUAAUGUGUUUGAUUUGAAUAAUUUACGUGAAGGGGAGAGGGAAUUUCGUGAAGAUUUUGGUGAAGAUUUUGACGGUUUCGACGAGGUGUCCCCCCCCCCGCCAACUUUCAAGAAUGGGAGUGGCAGAGGGACCACAACGGUGGAGACAUGAGGGAUUUUGAAGAGGCGACCGGACUCAAGAAUAUAUAUUGACACGGUGAGUGAAAUAUCGUGCUAUUGAUUUUUUCCAACUGUUUUACAAUGAUUCUGUGUUUGAACAGAUUAUCAGUGCGACGAAUGAGAAUGCAGCCUACAGGUGAACGAGCGAUCACAACAACAACAAAGAUCAAUCUGUGAUAUCCUCUCUGUGAUGUCAUUCUUAUAGGAGCUGUGGUUCAAUGUUCAGAUGUGCAUGAAGAGAAUUUACCUGUAACACCUGGGAUUACCUGUGCCGUCCAAGAUGACAAGACCACUGUGU
rnacentral:lncRNA from 1 species